GUGGGGAAUUUUGGACAAUGGGCGAAAGCCUGAUCCAGCCAUGCCGCGUGCAGGAUGAAGGCCUUCGGGUUGUAAACUGCUUUUGUACGGAACGAAAAGACUCCUUCUAAUAAAGGGGGUCCAUGACGGUACCGUAAGAAUAAGCACCGGCUAACUACGUGCCAGCAGCCGCGGUAAUACGUAGGGUGCAAGCGUUAAUCGGAAUUACUGGGCGUAAAGCGUGCGCAGGCGGUUAUAUAAGACAGAUGUGAAGUCCCCGGGCUCAACCUGGGAACUGCCUUUGUGACUGUAUAGCUAGAGUACGGUAGAGGGGGAUGGAAUUCCGCGUGUAGCAGUGAAAUGCGUAGAUAUGCGGAGGAACACCGAUGGCGAAGGCAAUCCCCUGGACCUGUACUGACGCUCAUGCACGAAAGCGUGGGGAGCAAACAGGAUUAGAAACCCGGGUAGUCC
rnacentral:rRNA from 1 species